CCUACGGGAGGCAGCAGUGGGGGAUAUUGCACAAUGGGGGGAACCCUGAUGCAGCGACGCCGCGUGGGUGAAGAAGCGCCUCGGCGCGUAAAGCCCUGUCAGCAGGGAAGAAAAUGACGGUACCUGAAGAAGAAGCUCCGGCUAACUACGUGCCAGCAGCCGCGGUAAUACGUAGGGAGCGAGCGUUGUCCGGAUUUACUGGGUGUAAAGGGUGCGUAGGCGGCUUGGCAAGUCAGCGGUAAAAAUUCGGGGCUCAACCCCGUCCGGCCGUUGAAACUGGGGGCCUUGAGUGGGCGAGAAGAAGG
rnacentral:rRNA from 1 species